rnacentral:lncRNA from 1 species
AUGCCAAGAACAUGGACACCUUCUACCAGUGACAUAUUUUGGUGAGCCAGCCAGGAGGAAGAGAACAGGAAGGGAUUGUUUAGCUGAAAUGGAAGAUUUGAUAUCUGAACAAGGAGUUCUAAAUAAUUCUCUGCACCUUAAUCUGCCAAUACUCACUCUAAAACUACACAAAGGAGAUUCAAAAUAAAAAGAGGAUGAUAAACGGCAAAACCAUCUGAGGUAUUGCAUAAUUGAAACCACAGAUUGCUGCAAAAUAGCUUGGUAGAUAUGAGUAGUUGCCCAAGUUGCAGAAGAGGAUGCUGUUGUACACAUCAUCCUUGAGAUAGGAUGUAGAAACCCAGACACAGACGGAUUGAUGAUACUCUAGAUACCGAG